ACACAAGGAAGGAGGUGGUCCGACCAAUUGAUUGACUUACGGACAUGUGAGGUGGCUGCGAGCUAGCAGCGCACGGGGAGUCCUCCGCGCGCGCUGGCGAAUUCCCCGCAGUCACCCGGCCCCCGAGCCUCUCGGUUUUGUCCAACCAGGUACAACGGCUCGGGGGCCGCUUCAU
rnacentral:sRNA from 1 species